GAGGGGCAGCGCGGGUAGCAAUACCUGGCGGCGACCGGCAAACGGGUGCGGAACACGUACGCAACCUUCCCAAAACUGGUGAAUAGCCCUCCGAAAGGAGGAUUAAUACACCGUACCAUAACGAAGAGGCAUCUCUUUGUUAUUAUAGCCGCAAGGCGGUUUUGGAUGGGCGUGCGCCUGAUUAGGUAGUUGGCGGGGUAACGGCCCACCAAGCCUGCGAUCAGUAACUGGUGUGAGAGCACGACCAGUCACACGGGCACUGAGACACGGGCCCGACUCCUACGGGAGGCAGCAGUAAGGAAUAUUGGUCAAUGGACGCAAGUCUGAACCAGCCAUGCCGCGUGAAGGAUGACGGCCCUCUGGGUUGUAAACUUCUUUUAUCUGGGACGAAAAAAGGGCUUUCUAGCUCACUUGACGGUACCAGAGGAAUAAGCACCGGCUAACUCCGUGCCAGCAGCCGCGGUAAUACGGAGGGUGCAAGCGUUAUCCGGAUUUACUGGGUUUAAAGGGUGCGUAGGUGGGCAGGUAAGUCAGUGGUGAAAUCUCCGAGCUUAACUCGGAAACUGCCAUUGAUACUAUCUGUCUUGAAUAUCCUGGAGGUGAGCGGAAUAUGUCAUGUAGCGGUGAAAUGCUUAGAUAUGACAUAGAACACCAAUUGCGAAGGCAGCUCACUACGGGGUCAUUGACACUGAGGCACGAAAGCGUGGGGAUCAAACAGGAUUAGAUACCCUGGUAGUCCACGCCCUAAACGAUGGAUACUCGACAUACGCGAUAUACAGUGUGUGUCUGAGCGAAAGCAUU
rnacentral:rRNA from 1 species